AGUGAACGCUGGCGGUAGGCCUAACACAUGCAAGUCGAACGGCAGCACAGUAAGAGCUUGCUCUUACGGGUGGCGAGUGGCGGACGGGUGAGGAAUACAUCGGAAUCUACUUUUUCGUGGGGGAUAACGUAGGGAAACUUACGCUAAUACCGCAUACGACCUACGGGUGAAAGCAGGGGAUCUUCGGACCUUGCGCGAGUGAAUGAGCCGAUGUCGGAUUAGCUAGUUGGCGGGGUAAAGGCCCACCAAGGCGACGAGCCGUAGCUGGUCUGAGAGGCUGGUCAGCCACACUGGAACUGAGACACCAUCCGGACUCCUACGGGAGGCAGCAGCGGGCAAUAUUCGACAAUGGGCGCAAUCCUGAUCCAGCCAUACCGCGUAGGUGAAGAAGGCCUUCGGGUUGUAAAGCCCUUUUGUUGGGAAAGAAAAGCAGCAGGUUAAUACCCCGCUGUUCUGACGGUACCCAAAGAAUAAGCACCGGCUAACUUCGUG
rnacentral:rRNA from 1 species